GCCGAGGUGGUGGAAUUGGUAGACACGCUAUCUUGAGGGGGUAGUGUCCUGAUGGACGUGCGGGUUCAAGUCCCGCUCUCGGCACCA
rnacentral:tRNA from 2 species